rnacentral:rRNA from 1 species
ACAGAGGUGGCAAGCGUUGUUCGGAAUUACUGGGCGUAAAGGGCGCGUAGGCGGUCUUUCAAGUUCCGUGUGAAAUCCCUCGGCUCAACUGGGGAACGGCACGGGAAACUGGAAGGCUUGAGUUCGGGAGAGGGAAGCGGAAUUCCGGGUGUAGCGGUGAAAUGCGUAGAUAUCCGGAGGAACACCGGUGGCGAAGGCGGCUUCCUGGACCGACACUGACGCUGAGGCGCGAAAGCGUGGGGAGCAAACAGGA